CCUANGGGCGGCUGCAGUCGAGAAUCUUCCACAAUGGACGAAAGUCUGAUGGAGCGACGCCGCGUGAUUGAUGAAGUCCCUCUGGGACGUAAAGAUCUUUUAUGAGGGAAGAAGUUUAUUGACGGUACCUCAUGAAUAAGAGGCUCCUAAUCUCGUGCCAGCAGGAGCGGUAAUACGAGAGCCUCGAGCGUUAUCCGGAAUUAUUGGGCGUAAAGGGUGCGUAGGUUGUUCUGUUAGUCUUUUGUUAAAGCCCCGAGCUUAACUUGGGACCUGCAAAAGAAACGGCAGAACUAGAAAGUGUGAGAGGUGUACGGAACUUACGGUGUAGGGGUAAAAUCCGUUGAUAUCGUAGGGAACACCAAAUGCGAAGGCAGUACACUAGCGCAUAUUUGACACUGAAGCACGAAAGCGUGGGUUUAAAAAAGGAUUAGAUACCCCANUANUC
rnacentral:rRNA from 1 species